rnacentral:miRNA from 1 species
UAAGGGCGCUCCGACAACGUG